GAUCCUGGCUCAGGACGAACGCUGGCGGCGUGCUUAACACAUGCAAGUCGAACGGGAUGAUUUAGAAACUUGCUUUUAGAGAAUCUAGUGGCAAACGGGUGAGUAACACGUAGACAACCUGCCGACAGGAUGGGGACAACAUUCCGAAAGGAAUGCUAAUACCGAAUGAAGUCAGAGGAGGGCAUCCUCUUCUGAUGAAAGAUGGCCUCUGAAUAUGCUAUCACCUGUUGAUGGG
rnacentral:rRNA from 1 species